UAACCUAUAACUCGUUGCUUCGGCGGGUAGGGUCUCCGCGACCCUCCCGGCCUCCCGCCUCCGGGCGGGUCGGCGCCCGCCGGAGGAUAACCAAACUCUGAUUUAACGACGUUUCUUCUGAGUGGUACAAGCAAAUAAUCAAAACUUUUAACAACGGAUCUCUUGGUUCUGGCAUCGAUGAAGAACGCAGCGAAAUGCGAUAAGUAAUGUGAAUUGCAGAAUUCAGUGAAUCAUCGAAUCUUUGAACGCACAUUGCGCCCGCCAGCAUUCUGGCGGGCAUGCCUGUUCGAGCGUCAUUUCAACCCUCAAGCUCUGCUUGGUGUUGGGGCCCUACAGCUGAUGUAGGCCCUCAAAGGUAGUGGCGGACCCUCCCGGAGCCUCCUUUGCGUAGUAACUUUACGUCUCGCACUGGGAUCCGGAGGGACUCUUGCCGUAAAACCCCCCAAUUUUCCAAAGGUUGACCUCGGAUCAGGUAGGAAUACCCGCUGAACUUAAGCAUAUCAAUAAGCGGAGGAA
rnacentral:rRNA from 1 species